rnacentral:rRNA from 1 species
UACGUAGGGUGCGAGCGUUGUCCGGAAUUAUUGGGCGUAAAGAGCUCGUAGGCGGUCUGUCGCGUCGAUCGUGAAAACUUGGGGCUUAACCCUGAGCUUGCGGUCGAUACGGGCAUGACUGGAGUUCGGCAGGGGAGACUGGAAUUCCUGGUGUAGCGGUGAAAUGCGCAGAUAUCAGGAAGAACACCAAUGGCGAAAGCAGCUCUCUGGGACGGUACUGACGCUGAGGGGCGAAAGCGUGGGGAGCAAACCGG